UUUAUUUAAUUCCACAUUGAUAGAAUUCAAAAAGUACAAAGAAUACUCUAUGACAAUAAUUUAUUUAAUACAUGUACACUUUAUUUAGUCCCACAUUGAUAGGAUUCAAAAAGUACAAAAAAUACUAUAUAAUUUAUUUAACUACACUUUUUUAGUCCCAUAUCGAUAUAAUUCAAAAAGCACAAAGAAGGUUGGCCUAUAAAUAAAGAUUCAUUUUGUCUAAAACAAACAUGAAGUCUUAAGAGUGGGAGGAG
rnacentral:lncRNA from 1 species